CCUUAGACCAACUCCGCCUCACUGCGCCCCGCUGCCAAUCACAUAACCCUUGCACCGCUCCCUUCGCACCCCGGUUAGCCAAUCCGCUCCAGGUCUGAUUUUACGAUCUCCCGCUGAUGUUAAGACUAUCUUCGAACCCCCAGAAGAGAUCUGACUUCAGACGUAUCAACAACUGGCGCCGCUCAGACUGCUUGCGAGCUCAACAGCCAUGAAACCAGGGAUCAACAACUACCUUCGCGUGCCCUAUGUGCAUAUCACUCGACUCUGAGAUAAACCUGCUCAACUCCUCUUUUUUUUGAGUCUCUCGAUCGAAUUGAUAUCUCUGACUUGGACACCUUUAUUGGUACGAGUUCCCCGAAUUCUUCACCACCAGUGCUUGUGCGAUCCACAGGAAAGAAUAUUCGUCUCUCCACACGGGACAGAGAGUAUUUGCUCUCUACGCUAGAUCGCCCUGCUUCAUCUGGCCCCAGUUCCAUUCCCGUCGGAGCUUGUUCUCUCCCGCAACCCUCUGGGAAAAACUUGCGCCUGUCCGCCGGGGACAGGCAAGAUUUGCUCUCCGAGCUCACUCCCGAUGCUCCGGCCGAUCGGAGCCCCAGAAACGCUUCUUAUUCUCCGCCAUCAGACACACGAAAUGCACCGCGCCUGCCUUUGAGACCCAAUCACGGGCGUUUCAGAAGGAGGAGUAGCAGGACCCGCAGGAUCGCAAGGACAACGCGAACACGCACCCGAAGGCAGCUGGCUUCAAUCGCUCUUCGCGCGGUAUCUCUGUUCGCUGAAUUAGUUCAGCUCAUCUUAUAAAAACUUUGUUUUUGAUUUUUUUUUUCAUUUUGCUUUUCAAACAUACUCUCUUUUGUGGUUUUUUGUUCUUUUAAUAUAUUCCUGUUAAACAAUAAUAAUAAAAUAAAUGGAUAACCAGGAACAAGAUAUUACAGACCCGUUUCUUGCUUUAGAAACAGCGUUAGCUAGGUUAAAUGAAAAUAUACACCAUUCUCAGAUUACAUAUUCACAAAACAGUGAGCAACCUGAGGUGAUCAAUAAUAAUGAUCCUUUAGAAUUGCUUAAUUUAGCUCUUGCCUGAUUAGCACCCAAUGAAAGUGCCUUUCAAAAUAUUUCUUUGAGUUUGGGAUUGGAUCAUGAU
ensembl:lncRNA